rnacentral:lncRNA from 1 species
GACUAACUACUACUACACUACUUGAUCCUUGAAGGAUUGAGAGACUUAAUGCUCUUCUAGGGAUGCCUCUCAAGGGUGGAGGCAGCCUCUAUUUAUAGAGGAGGGAGAGGGGGUGCCACAUCAGUGAUCCGUCUGCUUCAUACCUCUCCACCCUUAAAUGAACCGACUUAGUAACCGCCUAGAUGGAGGGCCAUGGUAAUUUGGACAUGUGGAAGUUGUGCUUGAGUCAGUGGGGAGCCAACCGACUUGGUUAGGCACCAGGAGGGGGUCGCCUGACCCCUCUAUGGUAGGUGGGCCCAGCCAGGGUCUUCUAGAAGGUGACCCUAGUUAUCAUGUGAAGUGGCUCCACCAUUUGUGAAAGAUUUGUCGUGUUGCUUGCUUACUUGUGGGCCCAUGGAUCUAUGUGCAAUGAUCUUUCACCACUAGAAGUUGAUCUGAGGGUGGAAAUGGACUCCAGGGGUCUCCACAUGGAUUGUACUUCAUAGCACACCUCUUGGUGGGACCAUAAUGGGGUCGCCCGACCCCCUCAUUAGGUCCUUCUAAGGUGCAUUUUCUUGUUUCCAGUAAUCAAAGGCUAAGAGUACAAGUGGAACCAGUUAUGGAUAAAAUAUGUUCAUGUUUUGCUAUUCUUCUGUGAGACCGAGGCAUGUUGACGGUGUUUUGAGUGUGAAUUUCUAUGGUACAUCCACCGUCAACAUGAUCCCCCAAGCUUAACCUUUACUCGUCCCAAGCAAACAAUCAAACUUAGCCUCGAUGGAUCAACUAUUGUUACUAUGCUCACAUUUCAAGAGUACCAUGUGUACAACAAAGUUCUUCUCUUUGAAUGAAAUAUUAGCUUAAAAACUCACCCAUAUUACCUUAGUCCUCUAUGGGGCUUAUGGCUUUUCCUUUGUCUUAGGCGGUUGAAAGAUAGAACGGUUUGACUUGAGCACUCAUUUUCUUAUUCAUAGCAAGUUUCAUACCGGAGGUUUUGUAAUAUUUUUUUUUCAAAUGAAAACUUAAUGUUCCUCAUAUGGUUCUCUCAAGUCACUCGAAUGGUGUAUGAUUCCUCACCUAGGCAUAUGAUAAGAAUUACCUUCCUUAGUUCUUCCUACUUCUAAAAAGCAUAUGUGGAGUUCAAGGUAGGGAUAAAGAAAGAUAGAAUACUCACUUUGCAUUUAUUGGGAAGUCAAAGCUUGGAUCCAAGAAGAGAAGUGUCAUACCCCUAGAUCAAGAUGUGCAAGUGUGUGGUAUAUAAUGAACUAGGUUGCUCCUUUAUUUGAUAAGAUAUCUCUCUAAUUUUUUUUCUAUUAAGACAUGGCUAGCUCUUUUUUUCUUUUCUUCUUUUUUCAUGGACCUUCAUGUGCCCAUAUGUAUAUAUAUGUUGCAUAGCCCUUUUGGUGUCUCAUCUAUUACACCAUAUUUGGAGAGGUAUUCUAAUACUUAAAGCAAGGAGCAAGUUAUUUGGUGGAAAUGGAAGACAUAUUUUUGCGUACUUCUAGUGUAGAAGCAGCAUGUAUAUAUGUGGUGUGUGUGUGAUCUUGAUCUUGGGAGCAUGAUAAGUCUCUUAAACAAGGGUCAACAAGACUUGACAACACUCAACACAAAUCAAAUAGCUUAUGUGGAAGGUUUAUAAACAUGUAGAGCAUAUAUGGCCGUGGUAGGAAUUUAUCAUCAGUGAGGAACAAUUAAGGUUUUGAUCAUUUUAAGAAUAAAUUCUCAGGUAUUGCAACAUGCUUAGAAAAAUACUAUAGCAGCUCUAAUCUCACUAUCUCAUAUCCCUCAACAACUUAGACUUAGUUUUAGCACUUGCAACCCACAAAGUUUUUGGGUUCAUGAUGGUUUAAGUGAGCUAAGUAAUACAUACUUGGAGAAAUGCUAGGCUGGAAACUAGGUACUAAGGAAAUAUUGACAGAGUAACUAUUCAUCAUUUCCAUGAGGAAGAUAAACAUACAUGAAGCAUAUGUGUUAAGCGAGAUAAGCAAAUAUUUUUUUGAUAUUUUCUUUUUUUGAAUGCACUAAGAUGAAUAACUAGAAUGCAAAAUGCUAAGAUAGAAUACUUACCUUAGUGGGGGAGAGGAUCUCCCCCAAGCUUGGCUUUUGCUCACUGUGGCGGCGGAUAAUGUUAGAACCAUCCGGCCCAUCAUUGUGCUUCCUCAGCUUGUAUUGCUUGUAGAAGUUGGGCAUUUUGUUGUGCCAGCUGCAGCAUUGCUUCUUAUUCAAUGUGCAUUGCACCCGUGUUGUUGAUGAGGUCGUCCAUCUCUGUCCUUUGGUGGCACCUUUCCCUGCCCCGUGGGUGAGGAGUGCGUUGUGGACGUGGAGGCCUUUCCAUGGACCCUCAUAUGUCCAUAGAGCUUGCCUCAUCGCCUUCUUCAACUUCAUCUCUUGCAGGAUUUGAGGGAGCACAUUGCUCCAUUUAAGCAGCUCGUGACAUUCCUCUUGUCAUUUGGCGUGGUCCUACAAUAUUUUGGCUACGUGACUCUUUGUCUAAUUUAAUGGUUAGCGUACGAAGCGCAUACAGUUGACAUUUCUCACAAGGGAGAGGAACUUCAACUGUAUAGCCCGAAUAAACCAUUUUAAGUCCAAACCUUGGACCUCUUUUGAGCACAUUAAUAUUAAUGAAGACAUCCUCAUUUAAAACAUCUCUAGCAGAGGUGAUGUACUCAAAGGUAUGUGGCUCUAGUGCAUCCGUUGAUUCGGCUAUACGAGUAAUGAAUGAUGUAAAGUAAACGGGUUUUCCAUACUCAAUGGAGUUGAGCCAAUAGUCCACUAGCAGUUUAACAGGUGAGACCUUAAUUUUGCAUACCAUUGCAUAGAGAAGUUUAAGUUCUUCAUCACUUAAGAUGUUACCUCUAGUUCUAAGAAAAAGAGUCAUACACAUCCACUAAUGAAGAAAACACAGGGUCAGGUUAUGGAUUUGGUGGGGUGUAAGAUUAGAGCAAUCGUUGGAACCAGAUAUUGCUUUCCAAAAGUCAUUUUUCUAAACCCGAUAGUGGCAUGGUCUAGAUCAAGUUCACAAUUGUGCUCACAUCCUAGGGUAGUGUUCAAGAUGCUCCAAGUUAAAUUACAUUUAUCCCUAAACAUGUGAAAGGCUACGCCAUUGAAUGUUAAUUGUAAAGUACACAAAAAAUCUUGGGUGAUCACUUCUAUGCCAAGUUCAGGAACCAUCCAAAAUCCUCCCCAACCAAUUGUGUUAAAAACAACAUUAAACUCUGCACUCAUACCUGUGUGGUCCAAGAGAACCGGAUCGAUGAUGCUUGUGCAGCGGAAACUGCUUGAUCGUAGGGUGUUGUAUUUCUGCAGCUCUUCUUGGGUUAGCAUGAGGCCGCUCCCGGGCUCUCUUACUCUUGGUGGAGGCUCAUAGAGUACCACUUGGUGGUGACUCUCUUCCUCAUCCCUCCUCUCAUGGGUUCCUUUGGUGUGGUGAGAGUUAUGGGAAGAGCUCUCACCCUUCUUGGACUUCUUAAACCGGGAGGUGAGUAACUUCUUCAUCUAGCUACACAAGUGAGACAAACCAAGCUCCUACUAUUCCUACUAUGCAAGGGAUAAAGGGCAAAUCUUUUUGGGUUUUUGUUUUGGGAUGCUACUACUAAGCUAAACAUUGAGAGAGAACUUGCAACAAGACAGAAGAGAAGAAUGCUUGUGAGCUCAGGAUAUUCUAAAUGGUUGGGUGUGGAGUUGAGCUCACAAUGCAUGGGUAUUUAUUGGGGGAGUGCCACACCCUGGUUUAAAAAAAUAAACCAGAGUCAUCAUAUGUGUGCCCAAGAAGUCCACACAUAUAACAAAAGAAUAGAAAUAUCAGAAACAAUGUUAUAUAUAGCGGAAAACAUAUUUAUAAUAACAGUUACAAACAUCGGGCCCAAUAUAGUUGUUAUGGUGCUUAAUCUGUAGACAGAGUAUGUGGAAACAGUAGCUAAACUUCUUUUGCUCCAUUCUUCUCAGGGACAGUUGACUGGGGGCUGUGUAUGCCAAGCACUUCUCAUAAGCUUCUAGAAAUCUCCAUGACAUCUUAACCUUCUUCUGAGCAGCACUUUGGUACGCAUUGGGGGUGUGGGGGAAAUAGCAAGGGUGAGUUCAUGUCGAACUCAACAAGUACAGGUAGAAAGUAUAAUGACAUGCAAGGCUUAAUCAAAGGAAAAGCUGACACUGUUUAACUGCAGAUGAGCUUUUAAGUUGGUAAACUUUUGUUACGAUUCUUAUAUUAAAACAACCUAUUACUAAAUAUGAGUGAAGCAUCCCAACCCUUAAUUAGAUGAAAGUAAAUUAAUAAUACUAUUACUCAUCAUUAUAAUUAUUAUUAUUGUUAAGAUCUCUGAGGUAGCAACCUCAAAUAGUAACUUGGGGUAGCAACCCCAUUAAGGUCAUGGGAUAGCAAUCCCAAUUAAGAACACAGGAUAGCAAUCCUGCCAACACGGAAUAGCCAUUCCGCCAAAGCACGAGGUAGCAACCUCAACCAAAUUUUGCCUCCAAGUUCCAUGUUAUUCCAAUUUGCUCAUCAUAUGAGAGUCUGGGCCACUCGUGACCGUGAGCAUGGCUGAUAUAUCAGUUUUACACUCUGCAGAGGUGUGCACUUUCACUCCAAGUCGUGAUUCCCAUUCGCCCGGGGUCGCGACUCCCCAAAACACUACCAAGGUAAGCAGGUAGGGAUUCACUACGAGACCUUUCACAGGUUCCGACUAAUAAGAUGCCACUCGUAAGUUUUUGCCGGGGCGCGCGGCAGCCGUGCCCAUAGCAAUGGGACCCCGAACUGACCGACCUCUUAAUAUGAAUACCCAAGCUACUUCCUUACGCCUACGUGGAAAGUAACACCCUACCAGCGGAGGUCCUGAUAAUUAGUCAAGCCACAGCCAUAUGGCUUGGAGCUGCACUGUAUGUCCCAGGGGGCCGCUCCAUGACUAAGUCCUUACGGAGAGCAGAGACGGGUACGCCCGGCAACCGAGCCAACCAACAGUACCCGCUCCCCCUUUCCUCAACAAACUACGAUGCUCACAAGCACCGCUACAUCUUCGUCACCGAAGUGACCAUUAUCCACCAUUGGAGCAUUAUUUAUCAUUGAAGAAUUCAUUAGGCAAGAUUAUUACUUUUAUUAUUAUAUAGAUUAGAUGAGCAGAGCAGCUAAGCAUAAGUACUGUUCACUAUUCUACCCAUAUAUAAAAUCCAGGAGUACAAGGAAUACAAUAGAAGGCUAGUCAGGUCCUUAGGGUUUGCAGUAUUAAGACACAUGCAGUUAAAGUGAAUAUAAUUAAAGUUCAUAGGUACAAUAUGAUCAAAGGGUGCCUGCACUUGCCUUUAUUCCCAGUGUAUAUCUGCUCAGAAUUCUUUGACUUCUUUCUUGUGAUCUUUAUCUUCUACUGCAACUGUUGGUCCUCAGCUCCUGGUCUUUACUGUUGACGAACCACACUUCUUCUACUCGAAGCAAACAAGCAACACAAAUAGACAAACAACAAUCACGACUAAGAUCAAACGACACUCAAAAGAAAAGCUUAGAAAGAGCGCACUAAACGACAUGGCUUGUUGCUAUGAUCGAGACAAUGCGAGAACGAUUAAGAACAGAGCUAUCGUUAAACAGACACGACUUUCAAGGUUUAAAGUGUAACGGAGAAGAGAACUAUACGCUGGUCGUAUUUUGUGAACACAGGUCAUGGAUUAUUCAAAGAAAUAUCUGAAAGUUGAGUUGACCAAAUUAUAAAGAAUUAUAAAGGUUAGGGUUAAAUGUUAGUCAUAUUCUAUUUAAUAAAUAAUUAUAUACCACUGAAGCCAAUCAAGCAUUUAUAGAAUAUAUGAAAGCAACUAAUCGAGUGAUUAUAUAUCAUGUUUAAACUAAUCAAGUUGUAAUUAAUAAAGAAACAUUAAGGUUGAUAUUAAUAACAUGGGCAUUUAUUUAUUUUCAAAAGAUCAAAAUUAUAAACAUAAUUUACUUUUAAUUCAAAAUGACUUUAGAUAGAUAUUACUAAAUUAUUUAUGUGCUUCAUGUUUAAAUAAGCAAAUUAUAAUUAAGAAAGUAUUUAAGUUCACAUUUGAUUAUAAAGAUGCCGAAGUGUAAUUCUAAGUUGUUUUUAAAUUAAUUAAAUAGAAAUGCAUUUAAAACAUUAAUCAGAUUAAUUAUACUUAUAAACAUGAGACAAUGAAAAUAGCAUUGCUAAUAUGUAGAUUACACCAACAUAGUCACAACGCAACGAGAAACAAAUUACAACCCUAGAUUGUUCUUUAAUUUAAAAGCUAUUUAAUAGAUAUUAAUUAAAUUAUAUUUAAAUCAAUAAAUUCAAGAAUAAGAUACAUGAUAAAUAUUUAUACUACUACGUAAAGCGCGGCGAUACGAAACUAACUCGACAAGAACGGGCUUAAUCGGAGUUAAAACGCGGAUUCUAUGGCUAAAACUAGGUCGGUGGCAAGAUAGUGAAUAAACAGAACUAUUUUUCGUAUUUUAAAUAAUUAAAACUGAAUUUUAAAAGCGUUUUGGACUAAAUCUUUAAAUACCAAUGGAUCCAGGGGCUAGAUUGCUAAAAAUAGGACUUAAACCUAAUUAUUUCCGAACUACUCAGAACUGCGGGUUAAUUUAGAAAAACCGCAGGGGCUUUUUCGCAAGAUGGCCAGGGUCAACCGGGUUUUGGCCGUGUUGACGGCCACGCGGCGCGGCGGGGUAGGUGGGGUGCAGGAGGCGCGCGCGGGGUGAGCCGCGCCCUAGGUUGGAGUGUGGGCGAGCUGGGCCAGGAGCGCGGGCGGCCCACGCGGCAAGAGUGAGGGGGGGAAGGGAGCUGGGCCGGGGAAGAGGGGGGACGGCCCAGGGAGAAAGAAAACCCUUUUUCUUUUUUUUUUAAAAAAAAUUGAUUUCUAAACUAUUUUACUAAACCAAUUUCAAAACCAUUUUGAAUUCCUAAUUUGAGAUUAUUUAGGAGCUUGUUUUCUUUAAUACUUUUGAAAACAAAGCACAUUUUCCUUAGAUCAUAUCUUUAAAUCAUUUUUCAACUCAAAAUGAAUUUAGUUUUCGAAUAGGACUUUUAGAUUUUUAUUUUUAUUUUUCUUUUCAAAAACCGAAAAGGGCCGAAACGGGCUCGAUAGAAAUUUUGAAAUUUAUUUUUUUACACAAGCCAAACAAAGCUAGGGCACAAAGCACACAAUAACAAAACAAAACACCCUUCACUUGUCUUUAUAAAAGUUUUAAAAUUCCAAAUUUUUCUCUUUUUAUAAUAACAACAAUUAAUAAAAUCUUGCAAUAUUUUAGAAAAAAUUUAAAUCCUUAUUUAAUUUAGUGUUUUUCAAAUAACAAUCCAAAAAUUAAAAAUUUUGGAGUGUUAUAGAUCUACCCCACUUAACAUAAAUCUCAUCCCGAGAUUUGAAGAAACUAGAGAGAAAGAUAAAGUAGAUCAUCAAAGUUGUUUUGAGACUUUCAAGACAUGAUCAAAGAAUUAAAUAUAGACAUAAAGGGUAGAGAGUAUGGUAAAGAUUGAAGACAAGGAAAGAUAAUCGUAUGAGAGAAGAAUUGAUCUUUGGAUCGUGUAUUAUGAUAAGGUGCAAGGGCAAGAAGCCAAUAUUAACAAGAGAUGAUACAUAGGAGAUGGAUAUAAUAUUGCUCACAAUUUCCUUGAUUCCGGGUAUGUAUAAGAUAGUAGACGAAAGGAUAAAGAAUUAGCAGAAGUUGACAAAGACUUAGAUUUUUUUUUAAGUCUUCACGCUUAAUCAUUUGUAGUCCUAUGAGACGUAGGAUCAAAGAUCGUCGAUUGGCAAACAUGAUAAGGGUUCAUCGCAAGAAUGAUAAAGAUUCUUAUAUAGUUCUCCAUGUCUUUCUGAUUAGAGAUUUUCGAGAGUGAUGAUCGUAGCGAAUGCUGCCCCACUUAGACCAAGUGUUUGCUCAUCUUCAAAACUCCUAUAUAAGAACACUCAUCUUGUCCGUAGAUAAUCUGCAAAGUUUUCCUUUGGAGGUUACUAGUUCGACAAUACACUGCACCUCUUAAGAUUUGAGGGACACGAAGAGAAACAAAAAGAUGAUUAGAAAGAAUAGAUUGAAAUAAUCUCAGGUAUCUCAAUAAAGGUGUGAGACUUAAACCAAAAGUCGAUAAGGUUAUCUAGUAGAAGGUUCUUGAACAGUAUCUAGAAAAGCAACCCAAGGGGUCUGCUAAGAUUGACCAUAUAUCGGUAUGGUUUUCAUUUGACUUUCAGGUUAUGGAUUUUGUCACGUGAUAGUCCAUCAUAUAUUCCAGGGUGAAAAAUAAGUCUUAUCUUAGGACCUCGGUUUCUUAAUGCCUUGCUUUGAUAGGUCAACAGGCAUCACACUUUCUAUGAUACUUGGUGCUUCUUUGUGGUCUCCAUAGAUGAGUUCUAAGCAGAUUUGACCUACUACUUGCAGUGUCGGGAGAAUGAUGCAAGAAAGAACUACACAAAGGAUGUUGACUCAUUCUAUAAGGAGUAUUUAAGAUCGCUUCAUAGGUAAGCACUACCACUUGAUGUUGGGACAACACUAGGUGCUUCGCCCAAGGUUCCGUCGGUUACCAUAAAAAGACUGAACAUCUGGUCAAACAACUCAUUACUCAUACUAGAAGCUUAAGAAUGAUAAGGUCUGAUGAAAUAGAUGUCUCACUUUACAAAGAGGAUUACAAGUUGCUUGAAUGCAAAAAAUCUUUAUAAGCUAAAAGGCAUAACUGACUUUAGAUUUCAUAGACCAUUAUUGACUAGCUCAAAACUAUCUGGGUCCCUUAAUAUAACUUGCUUCACAUAAGAUGUUGAGAAUAUAUCGCCUUUGUAUAAGGUCCACAUUUCUUUCAAACUGCCUCGUUGUCGAUACAAUCAUUACAUUAGUCCUUUAAACCUUGGGGUGAGGUCGAGGUGCCUUCAUACACAAACCUGUCUCCUGAUGGGGUGAUUAGGGAUACUGAGUGUUGGGUACAAUCAAUCUCUCCAUGACAAGCAGUUAACCAUCCUCUUCCAAGAACGACAUCAAUCUCCAUUGACUCUAGGACUAUAAGAUUUACCUCAAAAAUUACACAUUUUAUGUCGAGACAAACUUUUGGACACAUGUAGAUUGCUCUUAUUUUCCCUCUUGGUGAUUUGACCAGUAUGAGUCUCUUCAUUUCCAACAUAAGCAUCUUAGGAUCGGCAACACAUUUACUCGAGAUAAAAGAAUGUGAAGAACCUGAGUCGAACAAAACAGUGGCAGGAGUUGAGUUGACUAGAAUUGAUCCAAACACCACAUUUUGUGCUUCGCAAGCAGUACACAUAUCCACAUGGUUCAAUCUACCAUUAACAUAGUCACGAACUGGGUACUUCUUUGGACAAUGCUUCUUGUGAUGUCCCUCUUCGUGACACUGGUAACAAGCAUUGCUAACAGUUUUAACAUAGGUGCCAUCCUAACAUUGAGCUCCUUGAAUUGAUGUGCUAGGAGUAACUAAAGUGCUACUAACUUGUUGGUUCUGAGGGUUCACUUUCAAUGGAGUCUCUUCACUAUUUCGCUUCUUAGCUUGAUUACUUUUUCGAGGAUGAAGUUCUGUGUAGGUGACAGUCCAUCCAUCUAGGAAUAACUCUGGCAUAGCAAGUGUAGCUGAAGGGGCAUCUAACUCUUCAAGAUAUGAGUGUGUCUGAUGAGAGUUUGGAGCUAAAUCUAAUUGCCAUGUAGAACUCAGAUUUGGCUCAACACUUAACAGUGGCUCUAGGGAGAUUGCCUUCUUUUCUUGUUACCUUCAGUCUGUUGAUCCUAGGGUACUUCUACCUUUCCUUCGCUUGACUUUUUCUAAAGGCACGGUAAACCAUAAUAUCUGCAACAAUUACAUGGCUCUUGAAUCCCAAGCGCCUCAUUAAUACCAUCUGUUGACGGUCCUUGAGUAUCAAAUUUAAUUAUCAAAUAAACAAAGAAAAUGAUCCAAAUGAAAUCAACAUCUAGACUUAGGGUUUUAUCUAACAGAAUUCCACGAGUUUUGGUGUUUGUCUAUUUUUGCAGGGGGUUAUCAGGAAUACGGAAGAAAGGCCCACAUGUUAGGAUUACAUAGAGAUAUUAACGUGCCGCGCAAUUAUCUUACAUCUAGAAGACUCCAGAAGCCACGAGACCGAAGCGGAGGCGAAACGGGGCCAGAGGCAGGGCGCCCGCCCUCCUGCCCUGGGCGCCCGCCCCCUCCCUGAGUCCAAUCAGGACUCUGCUUCGUGGGAGAUCUCCACCGACAUAAAGGAUGAAUCUAAACCAUACAAUCUAUGUCGGUUUGAUCCAACGGCCCAUAUUCACUUGAAGGGACUAUAAAACCAGACCCCCUGGCCCCUGGAGGAGAGAGCCUCUCAACCCUAAUUCAUUGUUCUUCAAGGGAGAAGAAGCCUCUGAUCAAGAUUAGAGCCACCACAUCAAUUGGAUAUCUAGAUUAGCAUAGCUACAUAGGAUUAGAACUAGAAGGAGUCAAUCUUCGAUUGGUUUCCGGAUCUGUCAAGAGGAUUCUUGGUAAUUUUCUAAUUGUGCUUCUAAUUACUUUCUAAUUAUCUUUGUUCUUCAAUAUUAUGAAUAUGACUUUGUUCUACUUCAAUAUAUUGCUUAUGACUUUGCUCUACUUGCUUAUAUUCAAGAUUAUAUUGUUCUUAGUUUAUCAUAGUUAUGUACUUGGCUUAGUUAGAUUGGAUCUAUAUACAUGCUUAGGAUCGUAUAGCGUUUAUAAAUCGAAUCCAUGGGUAAAUGAUAGAUAUUGUGUAGGCGUGGUGCUUAUACCGUAUUUAUCUGCGAUUGUACCCGAUAUGCCAGAUCGUGGGGUGGUUCGUGAUAGUGACAGCUUCAUUGAUUCUUAUAUAGUCCCCCUCUUGUGUAUUGGGCGGGCAGAGCAACAUUAUUACAGGGGAGUGAUUGCUAUGUUUCUCAUAUUCCUUGCUAAUAUCACUAUGCAUGGGCGUAGUCUUGUAUCGCAAUGAUUGCUAAGUAUGCUUGCACUAACUAUGAUAUGCUAGACUAUAUAGUUAAGAAUAACUUAGGGAAUAUUCUUGUAGUUCGUUUUAAUACCAUGCUAAUGACUUUCUAGAGUAUCUAAUUGAGGUGCUUAUCAUAUUUAUUAUGUGGCUAGAUCAGAUUAGUUAUCCUUGUCACUAUUAUUAUUUCAUAUAUCUUUUAUGUGACACUUAUCCCUGUAUGAAGAGUUAGAUAAAUGUUCUCAAUUAUACAUGCAAUGAUAGAUGCUCAAUCUCAUAUUCUAUUCUGUAAUCAAUAUUGAUGAUUGCUAAUCCCUUCCCAGUGGUAAAAAUAUAAAUAACGAUACCUGGAAUACCUCUCGGUUAAAAUGCUACAUCGGUAUUAAUCUGUGCGCUUGCAGAUCCCAUUCAUUAUUUAUUUAGAAGAGCAAUUGCAUUUUUCAAUACCGCGUCUCUCAUGUCAUGCUGGGGAUGACAACUUGGCUUAAGUGGUAUGAGGGAUAGGUUUGGCAUUUUUGGCACCGUUACUAGAUUUAGAGAACUUAGUCUACUUUUGGUAAUGAUGUUAAGAAUACCCAACACCAUCUUUCCUAGUUUCCAUGUUCCUCCAGACUUCUACUAUUUGUCUCUUCAUUGCUCCUUCCUGAGUUUUGGUCAUUGUCUUCUCUGAAUGUAACUAAGAAUCUUUUUGUGGUCCCACUACACUUAGUACUUGAUCCUGUGUAAACAAAGGCUUCUCCUUGUUUACUAGUGACAAGGGUAACAUGGUUGGGUCUUUCUGACAUUUGAUGUAAGCUUCUUCUAUGUCACCUUGGAGAAGUAGAGCUUGUACAAUCAAAAGUUUCUAGAGUCUAGCCAUCUGAUCAGCUGCCAUCUUUAGGAUCUGAGCUUGCCAGGCUAUCACCUAUUCACCACUUAGUUGUGUUGUAGAAGGCAUUUGUUGACUCUGAUCACUGGUAUUAAUUCCUUUGACAUCAUCACUGGUGUCGAUCAUCUGACAUUAGGCAAUAGUAGAACGAGCUAGGGUAGUAUGGACAAAGAGCAUGAUAUGAAGUGAGAGAAAAUAGGUGGAGAGGAUCAAGAUUGACAAUAGAUGGAUAGGAUAAGAGAGAUUACUACCCCACUUAGCAAAGAUCGAGCUAACCCUCAAACAACUUCUUCUAGACCUCCUUCAAAACACUAGAACAAAGACAACACACAAACAACAAACCAAGCAAAACAAGCACGCAACACAUCAACGAUACUACACGUGCUUCUUCAACAGUGGUGGUCAUCCUAAAAGGUAGGUCUGAGAUGAUGAAGGGCCAUCGACAUUGGGAAAUAAAGCAAGUUUUGAAAACUUAAGUAAAACACCUAAUAAACAAAAGCCAAGGAGAUAAAUAGAAAUAGCUCAAAGGAAGCUAUUCAAGGAGGGGAUAUAACAUGACAAGGAUGAAGAAAUAGUCAGAAUCAAAUAGUCAAGGGACGAGAAAAUAGUUUUAUAUCAAAAUAAGCUUUAGAAAUCGACCAGUGCUAUCUAGGCAUACGUCCUAUAGUCAACAUUGCUCUGAUACCAUUCCUAUCACACCCUGGUUUAAAAAAAUAAACCAGAGUCAUCAUAUGUGUGCCCAGAAAGUCCACACAUAUAACAAAAGAAUAGAAAUAUCAGAAACAAUGUUAUAUAUAGUGGAAAACAUAUUUACAAUAACACUUACAAACAUCAGAGUAUGCGGAAAUAGUAGCUAAACUUCUUUGGCUCCAUUCUUCUCAGGGACGGUUGACUGGGGGCUCCGUAUGCCAAGCACUUCUCAUAAGCUUCUAGAAAUCUCCAUGACAUCUUAACCUUCUUCUGAGCAGCACUUUGCUACGCACUGGGGGUGUGGGGGAAAUAGCAAGGGUGAGUUCAUGUCGAACUCAACAAGUACAGGUGGAAAGUAUAAUGACAUACAAGGCUUAAUCAAAGGAAAAGGUGACACUGUUUAACUGCAGGUGAGCUUUUAAGUUGGUAAACUUUUAUUACGAUUCUUUUAUUAAAACAACCUAUUACUAAAUAUGAGUGAAGCAUCCCAACCCUUAAUUAGAUGAAAGUAAAUUAAUAAUAUUAUUACUCAUCUUUAUAAUUAUUGUUAUUGUUAAGAUCUCCGAGGUAGCAACCUCAAAUAGUAACUCGGGGUAGCAACCCCAUUAAGGUCAUGGGAUAGCAAUCCCAAUUAAGAACACAGGAUAGCAAUCCUGCCAACACGGAAUAGCCAUUCCGCCAAAGCAUGAGGUAGCAACCUCAACCAAAUUUUGCCUCCAAGUUCCAUGUUAUUCCAAUUUGCUCAUCAUAUGAGAGUCUGGGCCACUCGUGACCGUGAGCAUGGCUGAUAUAUCAGUUUUACACUCUGCAGAGGUGUGCACUUUCACUCCAAGUCGUGAUUCCCAUUCGCCCGGGGUCGCGACUCUCCAAAACACUACCAAGGUGAGCAGGCAGGGUUUCACUAUGGGAUCUUUCACGGGGUCCGACUAAUAGGAUGCCACUCGUAAGUUUUUGCCGAGGCGCGCGGCAGCCGUGCCCAUAGCAAUGGGACCCCGAACUGACCGACCUCUUAAUAUGAAUACCCAAGCUACUUCCUUACGCCUACCCAAAAAGUAACACCCUACCAGCGGAGGUCCUAAUAAUUAGUCAAGCUAGAGCCAUAUGGCUUGGAGCUGCACUGUAUGUCCCAGGGGGGCGCUCCAUGACUAAGUACUUAUGGAGAGCAGAGAUGGGUACGCCCGGCAACCGGGCCAACCAACAGUACCCGCUCCCCCUUUCCGCAACAAACCACGAUGCUCACAAGCACCACAACAUCUUCGUCACCGAAGUGACCAUUAUCCACCAUUGGAGCAUUAUUUAUCAUUGAAGAAUUCAUUAGGCAAGAUUAUUACUUUUAUUAUUAUAUAGAUUAGAUGAGCAGAGCAGCUAAGCAUAACUACUAUUCACUAUUCUACCCAUAUAUAAAACCGAGUACAAGGAAUACAAUAGAAGGCUAGUCAGGUCGUUAGGGUUUGCAGUAUUAAGACACAUGCAGUUAAAGUGAAUAUAAUUAAAGUUCAUAGGUACAAUAUGAUCAAAGGGUGCCUGCACUUGCCUUUAUUCCCAGUGUAUAUCUGCUCAGAAUUCUUUGACUUCUUUCUUGUGAUCUUUAUCUUCUACUGCAACUGUUGGUCCUCAGCUCCUGGUCUUCACUGUUGACGAACCACACUUCUUCUACUCGAAGCAAACAAGCAACACAAAUAGACAAACAACAAUCACGACUAAGAUCAAACGACACUCAAAAGAAAAGCUUAGAAAGAGCGCACUAAAGGACAUGGCUUGUUGCUAUGAUCGAGACAACGCGAGAACGAUUAAGAACAGAGCUAUCGUUAAACAGACACGACUUUCAAGGUUUAAAGUGUAACGGAGAAGAGAACUAUACGCUGGUCGUAUUUUGUGAACACAGGUCAUGGAUUAUUCAAAGAAAUAUCUGAAAGUUGAGUUGACCAAAUUAUAAAGAAUUAUAAAGGUUAGGGUUAAAUGUUAGUCAUAUUCUAUUUAAUUAAUAAUUAUAUACCACUGAAGCCAAUCAAGCAUUUAUAGAAUAUAUGAAAGCAACUAAUCGAGUGAUUAUAUAUCAUGUUUAAACUAAUCAAGUUGUAAUUAAUAAAGAAACAUUAAGGUUGAUAUUAAUAACAUGGGCAUUUAUUUAUUUUCAAAAGAUCAAAAUUAUAAACAUAAUUUACUUUUAAUUCAAAAUGACUUUAGAUAGAUAUUACUAAAUUAUUUAUGUGCUUCAUGUUUAAAUAAGCAAAUUAUAAUUAAGAAAGUAUUUAAGUUCACAUUUGAUUAUAAAGAUGCCGAAGUGUAAUUCUAAGUUGUUUUUAAAUUAAUUAAAUAGAAAUGCAUUUAAAACAUUAAUCAGAUUAAUUAUACUCAUAAACAUGAGACAAUGAAAAUAGCAUUGCUAAUAUGUAGAUUACACCAACAUAGUCACAACGCAACGAGAAACAAAUUACAACCCUAGAUUGUUCUUUAAUUUAAAAGCUAUUUAAUAGAUAUUAAUCAAAUUAUAUUUAAAUCAAUAAAUUCAAGAAUAAGAUACAUGAUAAAUAUUUAUACUACUACGUAAAGCGCAGCGAUACGAAACUAACUCGACAAGAACGGGCUUAAUCGGAGUUAAAACGCGGAUUCUAUGGCUAAAACUAGGUCGGUGGCAAGAUAGUGAAUAAACAGAACUAUUUUUCGUAUUUUAAAUAAUUAAAACUGAAUUUUAAAAGCGUUUUGGACUAAAUAUUUAAAUACCAAUGGAUCCAGGGGCUAGAUUGCUAAAAACAGGACUUAAACCUAAUUAUUUCCGAACUACUCAGAACUGCGGGUUAAUUUAGAAAAACCGCAGGGGCUUUUUCGCAAGAUGGCCAGGGUCAACCGAGUUUUGGCCGUGUUGACGGCCACGCGGCGCGGCGGGGUAGGUGGGGUGCAGGAGGCGCGCGCGGGGUGAGCCGCGCCCUAGGUUGGAGUGUGGGCGAGCUGGGCCAGGAGCGCUGGCGGCCCACGCGGCAAGAGUGAGGGGGGGAAGGGAGCUGGGCCGGGGAAGAGGGGGGACGGCCCAGGGAGAAAGAAAACCCUUUUUCUUUUUUUUUAAAAAAAAUUGAUUUCUAAACUAUUUUACUAAACCAAUUUCAAAACCAUUUUGAAUUCCUAAUUUGAGAUUAUUUAGGAGCUUGUUUUCUUUAAUACUUUUGAAAACAAAGCACAUUUUCCUUAGAUCAUAUCUUUAAAUCAUUUUUCAACUCAAAAUGAAUUUAGUUUUCGAAUAGGACUUUUAGAUUUUUAUUUUUAUUUUUCUUUUCAAAAACCGAAAAGGGCCGAAACGGGCUCGAUAGAAAUUUUGAAAUUUAUUUUUUUACACAAGCCAAACAAAGCUAUGGCACAAAGCACACAAUAACAAAACAAAACUCCCUUCACUUGUCUUUAUAAAAGUUUUAAAAUUCCAAAUUUUUCUCUUUUUAUAAUAACAACAAUUAAUAAAAUCUUGCAAUAUUUUAGAAAAAAUUUAAAUCCUUAUUUAAUUUAGUGUUUUUCAAAUAACAAUCCAAAAAUUAAAAAUUUUGGAGUGUUAUAGAUCUACCCCACUUAACAUAAAUCUCAUCCCGAGAUUUGAAGAAACUAGAGAGAAAGAUAAAGUAGAUCAUCAAAGUUGUUUUGAGACUUUCAAGACAUGAUCAAAGAAUUAAAUAUAGACAUAAAGGGUAGAGAGUAUGGUAAAGAUUGAAGACAAGGAAAGAUAAUCGUAUGAGAUAAGAAUUGAUCUUUGGAUCGUGUAUUAUGAUAAGGUGCAAGGGCAAGAAGCCAAUAUUAACAAGAGAUGAUACAUAGGAGAUGGAUAUAAUAUUGCUCACAAUUUCCUUGAUUCCGGGUAUGUAUAAGAUAGUAGACGAAAGGAUAAAGAAUUAGCAGAAGUUGACAAAGACUUAGAUGUUUUUUAAGUCUUCACGCUUAAUCAUUUGUAGUCCUAUGAGACGUAGGAUCAAAGAUCGUCGAUUGGCAAACAUGAUAAGGGUUCAUCGCAAGAAUGAUAAAGAUUCUUAUAUAGUUCUCCAUGUCUUUCUGAUUAGAGAUUUUCGAGAGUGAUGAUCGUAGCGAAUGCUGCCCCACUUAGACCAAGUGUUUGCUCAUCUUCAAAACUCCUAUAUAAGAACACUCAUCUUGUCCGUAGAUAAUCUGCAAAGUUUUCCUUUGGAGGUUACUAGUUCGACAAUACACUGCACCUCUUAAGAUUUGAGGGACACGAAGAGAAACAAAAAGAUGAUUAGAAAGAAUAGAUUGAAAUAAUCUCAGGUAUCUCAAUAAAGGUGUGAGACUUAAACCAAAAGUCGAUAAGGUUAUCUAGUAGAAGGUUCUUGAACAGUAUCUAGAAAAGCAACCCAAGGGGUCUGCUAAGAUUGACCAUAUAUCGGUAUGGUUUUCAUCUGACUUUCAGGUUAUGGAUUUUGUCACGUGAUAGUCCAUCAUAUAUUCUAGGGUGAAAAAUAAGUCUUAUCUUAGGACCUCGGUUUCUUAAUGCCUUGCUUUGAUAGGUCAACAGGCAUCACACUUUCUAUGAUACUUGGUGCUUCUUUGUGGUCUCCAUAGAUGAGUUCUAAGCAGAUUUGACCUACUACUUGCAGUGUCGGGAGAAUGAUGCAAGAAAGAACUACACAAAGGAUGUUGACUCAUUCUAUAAGGAGUAUUUAAGAUCGCUUCAUAGGUAAGCACUACCACUUGAUGUUGGGACAACACUAGGUGCUUCGCCCAAGGUUCCGUCGGUUACCAUAAAAAGACUGAACAUCUGGUCAAACAACUCAUUACUCAUACUAGAAGCUUAAGAAUGAUAAGGUCUGAUGAAAUAGAUGUCUCACUUUACAAAGAGGAUUACAAGUUGCUUGAAUGCAAAAAAUCUUUAUAAGCUAAAAGGCAUAACUGACUUUAGAUUUCAUAGACCAUUAUUGACUAGCUCAAAACUAUCUGGGUCCCUUAAUAUAACUUGCUUCACAUAAGAUGUUGAGAAUAUAUCGCCUUUGUAUAAGGUCCACAUUUCUUUCAAACUGCCUCGUUGUCGAUACAAUCAUUACAUUAGUCCUUUAAACCUUGGGGUGAGGUCGAGGUGCCUUCAUACACAAACCUGUCUCCUGAUGGGGUGAUUAGGGAUACUGAGUGUUGGGUACAAUCAAUCUCUCCAUGACAAGCAGUUAACCAUCCUCUUCCAAGAACGACAUCAAUCUCCAUUGACUCUAGGACUAUAAGAUUUACCUCAAAAAUUACACAUUUUAUGUCGAGACAAACUUUUGGACACAUGUAGGUUGCUCUUAUUUUCCCUCUUGGUGAUUUGACCAGUAUGAGUCUCUUCAUUUCCAACAUAAGCAUCUUAUGAUCGGCAACACAUUUACUCGAGAUAAAAGAAUGUGAAGAACCUGAGUCGAACAAAACAGUGGCAGGAGUUGAGUUGACUAGAAUUGAUCCAAACACCACAUUUUGUGCUUCGCAAGCAGUACACAUAUCCACAUGGUUCAAUCUACCAUUAACAUAGUCACGAACUGGGUACUUCUUUGGACAAUGCUUCUUGUGAUGUCCCUCUUCGUGACACUGGUAACAAGCAUUGCUAACAGUUUUAACAUAGGUGCCAUCCUAACAUUGAGCUCCUUGAAUUGAUGUGCUAGGAGUAACUAAAGUGCUACUAACUUGUUGGUUCUGAGGGUUCACUUUCAAUGGAGUCUCUUCACUAUUUCGCUUCUUAGCUUGAUUACUUUUUCGAGGAUGAAGUUCUGUGUAGGUGAUAGUCCAUCCAUCUAGGCAUAACUCUGGCAUAGCAAGUGUAGCUGAAGGGGCAUCUAACUCUUCAAGAUAUGAGUGUGUCUGAUGAGAGUUUGGAGCUAAAUCUAACUGCCAUGUAGAACUCAGAUUUGGCUCAACACUUAACAGUGGCUCUAGGGAGAUUGCCUUCUUUUCUUGUUACCUUCAGUCUGUUGAUCCUAGGGUACUUCUACCUUUCCUUCGCUUGACUUUUUCUAAAGGCACGGUAAACCAUAAUAUCUGCAACAAUUACAUGGCUCUUGAAUCCCAAGCGCCUCAUUAAUACCAUCUGUUGACGGUCCUUGAGUAUCAAAUUUAAUUAUCAAAUAAACAAAGAAAAUGAUCCAAAUGAAAUCAACAUCUAGACUUAGGGUUUUAUCUAACAGAAUUCCACGAGUUUUGGUGUUUGUCUAUUUUUGCAGGGGGUUAUCAGGAAAUACGGAAGAAAGGCCCACAUGUCAGGAUUACAUAGAGAUAUUAACGUGCCGCGCAAUUAUCUUACAUCUAGAAGACUCCAGAAGCCACGAGACCGAAGCAGAGGCGAAACGGGGCCAGAGGCAGGGCGCCCGCCCUCCUGCCCUGGGCGCCCGCCCCCUCCCUGAGUCCAAUCAGGACUCUGCUUCGUGGGAGAUCUCCACCGACCUAAAGGAUGAAUCUAAACCAUACAAUCUAUGUCGGUUUGAUCCAACGGCCCAUAUUCACUUGAAGGGACUAUAAAACCAGACCCCCUGGCCCCUGGAGGAGAGAGCCUCUCAACCCUAAUUCAUUGUUCUUCAAGGGAGAAGAAGCCUCUGAUCAAGAUUAGAGCCACCACAUCAAUUAGAUAUCUAGAUUAGCAUAGCUACAUAGGAUUAGAACUAGAAGGAGUCAAUCUUCGAUUGGUUUCCGGAUCUGUCAAGAGGAUUCUUGGUAAUUCUCUAAUUGUGCUUCUAAUUACUUUCUAAUUAUCUUUGUUCUUCAAUAUUAUGAAUAUGACUUUGUUCUACUUCAAUAUAUUGCUUAUGACUUUGCUCUACUUGCUUAUAUUCAAGAUUAUAUUGUUCUUAGUUUAUCAUAGUUAUGUACUUGGCUUAGUUAGAUUGGAUCCAUAUACAUGCUUUGGAUCGUAUAGCGUUUAUCCAUCGAAUCCAUGGGUAAAUGAUAGAUAUUGUGUAGGCGUGGUGCUUAUACCGUAUUUAUCUGCGAUUGUACCCGAUAUGCCAGAUCGUGGGGUGGUUCGUGAUAGUGACAGCUUCAUUGAUUCUUAUAUAGUCCCCCUCUUGUGUAUUGGGCUAGCAGAGCAACAUUAUUAUAGGGGAGUGAUUGCUAUGUUUCUCAUAUUCCUUGCUAAUAUCACUAUGCAUGGGCGUAGUCUUGUCUCACAAUGAUUGCUAAGUAUGCUUGCACUAACUAUGAUAAUGCUAGACUAUAUAGUUAAGAAUAACUUAGGGAAUAUUCUUGUAGUUCAUUCUAAUACCAUGCUAAUGACUUUCUAGAGUAUCUAAUUGAGGUGCUUAUCAUAUUUAUAUGUGGCUGAUCAGAUUAAUUACCUUUGUCACUAUUUAUUAUUUCAUAUAUCUUUUAGGUGACACUUAUCCUUGUAUGAAGAGUUAGAUAAAUGUUCUCAAUUAUACAUGCAAUGAUAGAUGCUCAAUCUCAUAUUCUAUUCUGUAAUCAAUAUUGAUGAUUGCUAAUCCCUUCCCAGUGGUAAAAAUAUAAAUAACGAUACCUGGAAUACCUCCCGGUUAAAAUGCUACAUCGGUAUUAAUCUGUGCGCUUGCAGAUCCCAUUCAUUAUUUAUUUAGAAGAGCAAUUGCAUUUUUCAAUACCGCGUCUCUCAUGUCAUGCUGGGGACGACAACUUGGCUUAAGUGGUAUGAGGGAUAGGUUUGGCAUUUUUGGCACCGUUACUAGAUUUAGAGAACUUAGUCUACUUUUGGUAAUGAUGUUAAGAAUACCCAACACCAUCUUUCCUAGUUUUCAUGUUCCUCCAGACUUCUACUAUUUGUCUCUUCAUUGCUCCUUCCUGAGUUUUGGUCAUUGUCUUCUCUGAAUGUAACUAAGAAUCUUUUUGUGGUCCCACUACACUUAGUACUUGAUCCUGUGUAAACAAAGGCUUCUCCUUGUUUACUAGUGACAAGGGUAACAUGGUUGGGUCUUUCUGACAUUUGAUGUAAGCUUCUUCUAUGUCACCUUGGAGAAGUAGAGCUUGUACAAUCAAAAGUUUCUAGAGUCUAGCCAUCUGAUCAGCUGCCAUCUUUAGGAUCUGAGCUUGCCAGGCUAUCACCUAUUCACCACUUAGUUGUGUUGUAGAAGGCAUUUGUUGACUCUGAUCACUGGUAUUAAUUCCUUUGACAUCAUCACUGGUGUCGAUCAUCUGACAUUAGGCAAUAGUAGAACGAGCUAGGGUACUAUGGACAAAGAGCAUGAUAUGAAGUGAGAGAAAAUACGUGGAGAGGAUCAAGAUUGACAAUAGAUGGAUAGGAUAAGAGAGAUUACUACCCCACUUAGCAAAGAUCGAGCUAACCCUCAAACAACUUCUUCUAGACCUCCUUCAAAACACUAGAACAAAGACAACACACAAACAACAAACCAAGCAAAACAAGCACGCAACACAUCAACGAUACUACACGUGCUUCUUCAACAGUGGUGGUCAUCCUAAAAGGUAGGUCUGAGACGAUGAAGGGCCAUCGACAUUGGGAAAUAAAGCAAGUUUUGAAAACUUAAGUAAAACACAUAAUAAACAAAAGCCAAGGAGAUAAAUAGAAAUAGCUCAAAGGAAGCUAUUCAAGGAGGGGAUACAACAUGACAAGUAUGAAGAAAUAGUCAGAAUCAAAUAGUCAAGGGACGAGAAAAUAGUUUUAUAUCAAAAUAAGCUUUAGAAAUCGACCAGUGCUAUCUAGGCAUACGUCCUACAGUCAACAUUGCUCUGAUACCAUUCCUAUCACACCCUGGUUUAAAAAAAUAAACCAGAGUCAUGAUAUGUGUGCCCAGGAAGUCCACACAUAUAACAAAAGAAUAGAAAUAUCAGAAACAAUGUUAUAUAUAGUGGAAAACAUAUUUACAAUAACACUUACAAACAUCAGAGUAUGCGGAAAUAGUAGCUAAACUUCUUUGGCUCCAUUCUUCUCAGGGACGGUUGACUGGGGGCUCCGUAUGCCAAGCACUUCUCAUAAGCUUCUAGAAAUCUCCAUGACAUCUUAACCUUCUUCUGAGCAGCACUUUGCUACGCACUGGGGGUGUGGGGGAAAUAGCAAGGGUGAGUUCAUGUCGAACUCAACAAGUACAGGUGGAAAGUAUAAUGACAUACAAGGCUUAAUCAAAGGAAAAGGUGACACUGUUUAACUGCAGGUGAGCUUUUAAGUUGGUAAACUAUUAUUACGAUUCUUUUAUUAAAACAACCUAUUACUAAAUAUGAGUGAAGGAUCCCAACCCUUAAUUAGAUGAAAGUAAAUUAAUAAUAUUAUUACUCAUCUUUAUAAUUAUUAUUAUUGUUAAGAUCUCCGAGGUAGCAACCUCAAAUAGUAACUCAGGGUAGCAACCCCAUUAAGGUCAUGGGAUAGCAAUCCCAAUUAAGAACACAGGAUAGCAAUCCUGCCAACACGGAAUAGCCAUUCCGCCAAAGCACGAGGUAGCAACCUCAACCAAAUUUUGCCUCCAAGUUCCAUGUUAUUCCAAUUUGCUCAUCAUAUGAGAGUCUGGGCCACUCGUGACCGUGAACAUGGCUGAUAUAUCAGUUUUACACUCUGCAGAGGUGUGCACUUUCACUCCAAGUCGUGAUUCCCAUUCGCCCGGGGUCGCGACUCCCCAAAACACUACCAAGGUGAGCAGGCAGGGUUUCACUACGAGACCUUUCACAGGGUCCGACUAAUAGGAUGUCACUCGUAAGUUUUUGCCGGGGCGCGCGGCAGCCGUGCCCAUAGCAAUGGGACCCCGAACUGACCGACCUCUUAAUAUGAAUACCCAAGCUACUUCCUUACGCCUACCCGAAAAGUAACACCCUACCAGCGGAGGUCCUAAUAAUUAGUCAAGCUAGAGCCAUAUGGCUUGGAGCUGCACUGUAUGUCCCAGGGGGGCGCUCCAUGACUAAGUACUUAUGGAGAGCAGAGAUGGGUACGCCUGGCAACCGGGCCAACCAACAGUACCCGCUCCCCCUUUCCGCAACAAACCACGAUGCUCACAGGCACCACAACAUCUUCGUCACCGAAGUGACCAUUAUCCACCAUUGGAGCAUUAUUUAUCAUUGAAGAAUUCAUUAGGCAAGAUUAUUACUUUUAUUAUUAUAUAGAUUAGAUGAGCAGAGCAGCUAAGCAUAACUACUAUUCACUAUUCUACCCAUAUAUAAAACCGAGUACAAGGAAUACAAUAGAAGGCUAGUCAGGUCGUUAGGGUUUGCAGUAUUAAGACACAUGCAGUUAAAGUGAAUAUAAUUAAAGUUCAUAGGUACAAUAUGAUCAAAGGGUGUCUGCACUUGCCUUUAUUCCCAGUGUAUAUCUGCUCAGAAUUCUUUGACUUCUUUCUUGUGAUCUUUAUCUUCUACUGCAACUGUUGGUCCUCAGCUCCUGGUCUUCACUGUUGACGAACCACACUUCUUCUACUCGAAGCAAACAAGCAACACAAAUAGACAAACAACAAUCACGACUAAGAUCAAACGACACUCAAAAGAAAAGCUUAGAAAGAGCGCACUAAACGACAUGGCUUGUUGCUAUGAUCGAGACAACGCGAGAACGAUUAAGAACAGAGCUAUCGUUAAACAGACAUGACUUUCAAGGUUUAAAGUGUAACGGAGAAGAGAACUAUACGCUGGUCGUAUUUUGUGAACACAGGUCUUCGAUUAUUCAAAGAAAUAUCUGAAAGUUGAGUUGACCAAAUUAUAAAGAAUUAUAAAGGUUAGGGUUAAAUGUUAGUCAUAUUCUAUUUAAUAAAUAAUUAUAUACCACUGAAGCCAAUCAAGCAUUUAUAGAAUAUAUGAAAGCAACUAAUCGAGUGAUUAUAUAUCAUGUUUAAACUAAUCAAGUUGUAAUUAAUAAAGAAACAUUAAGGUUGAUAUUAAUAACAUGGGCAUUUAUUUAUUUUCAAAAGAUCAAAAUUAUAAACAUAAUUUACUUUUAAUUCAAAAUGACUUUAGAUAGAUAUUACUAAAUUAUUUAUGUGCUUCAUGUUUAAAUAAGCAAAUUAUAAUUAAAAAAGUAUUUAAGUUCACAUUUGAUUAUAAAGAUGCCGAAGUGUAAUUCUAAGUUGUUUUUAAAUUAAUUAAAUAGAAAUGCAUUUAAAACAUUAAUCAGAUUAAUUAUACCCAUAAACAUGAGACAAUGAAAAUAGCAUUGCUAAUAUGUAGAUUACACCAACAUAGUCACAACGCAACGAGAAACAAAUUACAACCCUAGAUUGUUCUUUAAUUUAAAAGCUAUUUAAUAGAUAUUAAUCAAAUUAUAUUUAAAUCAAUAAAUUCAAGAAUAAGAUACAUGAUAAAUAUUUAUACUACUACGUAAAGCGCGGCGAUACGAAACUAACUCGACAAGAACGGGCUUAAUCGGAGUUAAAACGCGGAUUCUAUGGCUAAAACUAGGUCGGUGGCAAGAUAGUGAAUAAACAGAACUAUUUUUCGUAUUUUAAAUAAUUAAAACUGAAUUUUAAAAGCGUUUUGGACUAAAUCUUUAAAUACCAAUGGAUCCAGGGGCUAGAUUGCUAAAAACAGGACUUAAACCUAAUUAUUUCUGAACUACUCAGAACUGCGGGUUAAUUUAGAAAAACUGCAGGGGCUUUUUCGCAAGAUGGCCAGGGUCAACAGGGUUUUGGCCGCGUUGACGGCCACGCGGCGCGGCGGGGUAGGUGGGGUGCAGGAGGCGCGCGCGGGGUGAGCCGCGCCCUAGGUUGGAGCGUGGGCGAGCUGGGCCAGGAGCGCUGGCGGCCCACGCGGCAAGAGUGAGGGGGGGAAGGGAGGUGGGCCGGGGAAGAGGGGGGACGGCCCAGGGAGAAAGAAAACCCUUUUUCUUUUUUAAAAAAAAAAUGAUUUCUAAACUAUUUUACUAAACCAAUUUCAAAACCAUUUUGAAUUCCUAAUUUGAGAUUAUUUAGGAGCUUGUUUUCUUUAAUAUUUUUGAAAACAAAGCACAUUUUCCUUAGAUCAUAUCUUUAAAUCAUUUUUCAACUCAAAAUGAAUUUAGUUUUCGAAUAGGACUUUUAGAUUUUUAUUUUUAUUUUUCUUUUCAAAAACCGAAAAGGGCCGAAACGGGCUCGAUAGAAAUUUUGAAAUUUAUUUUUUUACACAAGCCAAACAAAGCUAGGGCACAAAGCACACAAUAACAAAACAAAACACCCUUCACUUGUCUUUAUAAAAGUUUUAAAAUUCCAAAUUUUUCUCUUUUUAUAAUAACAACAAUUAAUAAAAUCUUGCAAUAUUUUAGAAAAAAUUUAAAUCCUUAUUUAAUUUAGUGUUUUUCAAAUAAAAAUCCAAAAAUUAAAAUUUUUGGAGUGUUAUAGGGAGAAGGGCAAGUGGUGGAAACCCUAUGUAGGGAUCAACCGACCCCCCUCCUAGCACUUUAAUUCAAAAUUUGCUUUGGCCAGGGAAUCUUACAUCAAAGUAUGAAAUCACUUUUCAGAGAUGGUCCAAAGUGGGGUCGUCCGACCCCCACCCUAAGCCCUCUUUUGCUAGGUGUGGACCAAAGGGCUAGGUGUGGACCAAAAGUAGUGAUCUUUUUUAGAGAUUCCCUUGCCUAUGCUUAGUGAAAGAGAAAAGAUGAUAGGCUAAAGUGGAGACAUGUCAUAAGAUAUUCCCAUGGACCAUGGAGACACUAAAGCAUGCCUAUGUGACCACUUUGUAGGAGUUGAGCAUGGUGGCAUGGUCCCAACACUUUAAAGAUGAAAGCAACAUCUUAUGUUUAAAGUGAUAAAGCAAAGGACCAUUUCUUUUCAGACCUUGGUUAGAGUGGUAUGCAUAGGAUUUAUGUGUUAAGCAUCUGGGAGACAGUAGAGUGCAGGUGACCCAAUAUGGGGGUCAGGUGACCCCCCACUUUGGUCCUCCACUUGCACCCAAGUCCUGGCAUCAUAUAACUAUACUAAGCCAAGGUGAAAGAAUGGUCAGUGGGCCCAAUGGUAGGGUCAGGCAACCCCACUUUUGGUGGUCCAACUGCUCAAAAAUUAUUGCAAGUUGUUCUCAAGUAUUUAUUUAUUAGGGUUAAGUAUUUUGUCAAAAAUAAAAUAUGCAAGAUUAUAACUAAGAAUGCAAUUGAAAAGUGCAAGACAAGAAUGCAGAAAGCAAAUAUGAGAUAACUAUUUAUUUACAUUCCAGCAGGGGCUCCAUGUUUUAGGUCCAUAGAGCAGGACCUCUCCAUUUUGUUCAUGCUUUGGGUGCCUCGGAUGGUCCUAGAGAUGGGGACCGUGAUUGCACCUUUCUCCCGCCAUACUGGUUUGAUUUUGGCCUGUGGUUCAGCGGGUUCUUCCUUCUCUAGUUUGACUUUGUUGGCCGACUCACCUUUCUUAUUCCUUCGGCGCGGGUAAUAGCGAGGUUUGUUCUUCGGUGCCUUGUCCUUCACUUGCAUGUUAGUUUUAUAACCAUUGAAUGGACACUUUACCUUUGCUCCUAGGAAUUGAAGAUGAAUUUGGCCGGACCCCACAUAGAUGAUAAUGUUGGCUGUGUUAAGGAAGGGCCUUCCCAGGAUGAUAGGAUUAUCAGCUCCCAUGUCUAGGAUGAUGAAGUCGGCGGGGGCGUAUUUGUCUUGUACUUUGACUAGUAUGUCCCUUGCUAGUCCCUUAGGGAACCAGAUCGUUUGAUUGGCCAUCUGCAAUUGAACAAAUGUUGGGAGCAAAGGCCCCCCUAAUAGGUUCUCAUAAGUUACCUUGGCCAUGAUGUUAACACCUCAUCCAAGGUCGCAUAAGGUGUUGUGGAAGAUUUGUGGUCCAAUUUCACAGGUGUUGGUUGGGUGGCUUCGAUCGUCCUUCUUGGUGAUUAAUGGUUGGUCAAGGAGAUAACUCUAGUUUGACUGCAAUGGAGGCUUACUGAACCUCAUGUUUACUAAUUUAACACCUUCAAUUGGAUCCUCAGGUUUCCCUAGGAUCUUACCUUGCUCGAUGGAUGGGACACCUGCUGCUAGUUGAGCUAAUUGUGUUUCUAGCAUUUUAUUGAAGCUCAAUUGAUUUUUCACAGCAGAGUUAAAGCUAUCCAUUUUCUCACUUAAGUUUUCAAGAAUCUUAUCAUUAGCCAUCAUUUUCUUAUUUAUGCUAUCAUUUAUUUUGGACUAGCCUAAGACAAGAUCUUUAAAGAAGGUUGGUUACCAUAAGAAUUAUUGAAAUUAUUGUUGUAACUAUUUCCUUGGUUUUGGUAGAAGGGACGCGAGUUCCAUCCUUGUUGUUGUUGUUUGGGCCAGUACCCGUUGUUGUUGUUGUUGUUGUUGUUGAUGAUGAAGCUCACUUCCUCCUUUGUUUUGGGACAAUUAUUUCCCGAAUGAUCUUCUCCUCCACAUACUUCGCACCAUGGACCAGCUUCGACGACUCGUGCGGUUGCGUAGGGUUGAAUGACCUCUUGUUCCUUCUUGGAACCUUUUUCUACCUUUUUCAUCAAGAGGUCCAUUUUAGCGGAGAGCAUGUCCACCUCAUUGAGGGCGUGGACACCUCUCUUCUUGGGCUGGAGGCGUUCCUCAUUCCAUUCUUGAUUUGUAACCAUCUUCUCUAUGAGGUCUUUGGCAUCCAUGACGUUGUGUUGCAAGAAUGCGCCUCCAGUAGCAGCAUCAAGGUGACUCUGGGCCAAACCGGUUAGGCCAUGGUAGAAACCUUGAAUGAGGAGCCAUUCCUCUAUCCCAUGAUGAGGACAGGCACGAAUGUACUCCUAGAUAUGUUCCCAUGCUUUGGGGUUUGUCUCAUUAGCUUGUUGUUGGAAGCUGGAGAUCUUUCCACAAAGGGCGCUGGUUUUGCCCAUCGGGAAGAACUUCUUGAGAAAUGCAUUGGCGCACUUCUCCCAUGUGGUGACCUCACUUUUGUUGGUAUAGAACCAUUGCUUCACCUUUAUCAAUAGCAAGAAUGGGAAAAGGCUGAGAUGGAUGGCGUCUGCAGAAACAUUCUUGAUAGUGAAGGUACCACACAACUCCAGGAAGUGUUGGAGUUGGGCGUUGACGUCCUCAUGUGGCUUCCCAGAGAAAGGGUUGACUUGCACCAUGUUGAUGAGUGUUGGCUUAAACUCAAAAGUUGCAUCACCCAAGUUAAGCUGUGGACCCAAGGCAACAUAGUCAGCUGACGAUGUAGAGUACUCAGAGAUGGUCUUUUGGGCCAUAACCUCCUUGAAAAUUGGUGCAGAACCUCCUUCCUCGAAUAGAUUUAGGAUCGAGAUGAACCUUUGAGGUUGAGCUUGAUGGCGUCUAACUAUCCUCAACAACUGCUCAGGAUCUUCAACAAAAUAUGAUGGCAGUUGGAAACCACUCAUUCACCUUCUAGUUCCACGAUAACAAGAAACAAGAUAGGUGCGGGGUAAGCCCCUACACUAAUUGAUAACUAGACCGAUAGUAGACUCUGGAUUCACUUUUAUUAAAAUUCCUAGGCUGACGCUUUCCCCGGCAAUGGCGCUAGAAAUGCUUGUUGGCAAAUCUUAGCAUCGUCACUAGAUGUUAGCAACGAUGCAAGAAAUGCCAGGUGGGUACUUCUUGUGUCUAUUGGAUUGUUCCGCAAGCGCACAGAAUAUACCGAUGUAGCACUUCACCGAGGAUGAGUAUUCCAAGGUAUCUUUAUUUAUUUUAUCCCAAGAGAAAGCAAUGCUAGGAAUAUUUAAAAAGAGAAGAGAUAUCCUUAUGUCUACUAUGAUCUACUAUCGACUAGUGAAGAAGGAGGGUAAGUGAUUGAUAGGAAGGGUAGAUAAGUAAGGUAGCAAAGAAUCUAAGCUAAAGAUAACUGGUAGAGUGUUAGCUAGGUGGGAGGACAACGAGUGAGUAAAGGACUCCUAUGUAUCCUACUUUACUUCUUUGUACUUGAUCCUAAUAGAUAGCUGACUCAACUAGACUAAUGCCAUACUCCUUGUGUGAGGGGGAUAGCCAAGAAAAUAGGAGAUAGAACCCCUGCUAAAGCAACUAUACUCUUAUGGACGCCUAGCAUUUUAAGAACUAGUUUGUACGUGAGGAGAUCCUAAUGCCGAGCACGACCUGUCACGUCCUACCAGUGCGCUCCUACCGUCCGUCCAAACCAACGACUAUCAAAGGUGAUCCUUAGUUUAAGCACCGCACUUACACUAACUCUCACGACUCUAACUACGGCGCAGAUAGCUCAAGCUCCUAUGCAAGAUAGGACGAUGAAACACACACAAGGAGUUGGUUAUAGGAAACCAAUCAACCUAAGUCAACUAAUAUUACUAAGACAAGCACACAACAAGGCUAUAGUAACUAUAGACUUGUACUAAGUAAAUACUUAAGUAAAUACUAAGUAAAGUAAAGGAAGAAUAAUAUAUUGAUAAAAGUAAACUCUUACAAAAGAGGAAAGGUAUAAGAGCUAUACCAGACUCUCUAGAAGACGACUCCAGAGACCCUGAGCUUCGCUCGACUUGACUCUAACUCCCACUCUAGACUAACUACUACUACACUACUUGAUCCUUGAAGGAUUGAGAGACUUAAUGCUCUUCUAGGGAUGCCUCUCAAGGGUGGAGGCAACCUCUAUUUAUAGAGGAGGGAGAGGGGGUGCCACAUCAGUGAUCCGUCUGCUUCAUGCCUCUCCACCCUUAAAUGAACCGACUUAGUAACCGCCAUAGAUGGAGGGCCAUGGUAAUUUGGACAUGUGGAAGUUGUGCUUGAGUCAGUGGGGAGCCAACCGACUUGGUUAGGCACCAGGAGGGGGUCGCCUGACCCCUCUAUGGUAGGUGGGCCCAGCCAGGGUCUUCUAGAAGGUGACCCUAGUUAUCAUGUGAAGUGGCUCCACCAUUUGUGAAAGAUUUGUCAUGUUGCUUGCUUACUUGUGGGCCCAUGGAUCUAUGUGCAAUGAUCUUUCACCACUAGAAGUUGAUCUGAGGGUGGAAAUGGACUCCAGGGGUCUCCACAUGGAUUGUACUUCAUAGCACACCUCUUGGUGGGACCAUAAUGGGGUCGCCCGACCCCCUCAUUAGGUCCUUCUAAGGUGCAUUUUCUUGUUUCCAGUAAUCAAAGGCUAAGAGUACAAGUGGAACCAGUUAUGGAUAAAAUAUGUUCAUGUUUUGCUAUUCUUCUGUGAGACCGAGGCAUGUUGACGGUGUUUUGAGUGUGAAUUUCUAUGGUACAUCCACUGUCAACAUGAUCCCCCAAGCUUAACCUUUACUCGUCCCAAGCAAACAAUCAAACUUAGCCUCGAUGGAUCAACUAUUGUUACUAUGCUCACAUUUCAAGAGUACCAUGUGUACAACAAAGUUCUUCUCUUUGAAUGAAAUAUUAGCUUAAAAACUCACCCAUAUUACCUUAGUCCUCUAUGGGGCUUAUGGCUUUUCCUUUGUCUUAGGCGGUUGAAAGAUAGAACGGUUUGACUUGAGCACUCAUUUUCUUAUUCAUAGCAAGUUUCAUACCGGAGGUUUUGUAAUAUUUUUUUUCAAAUGAAAACUUAAUGUUCCUCAUAUGGUUCUCUCAAGUCACUCGAAUGGUGUAUGAUUCCUCACCUAGGCAUAUGAUAAGAAUUACCUUCCUUAGUUCUUCCUACUUCUAAAAAGCAUAUGUGGAGUUCAAGGUAGGGAUAAAGAAAGAUAGAAUACUCACUUUGCAUUUAUUGGGAAGUCAAAGCUUGGAUCCAAGAAGAGAAGUGUCAUACCCCUAGAUCAAGAUGUGCAAGUGUGUGGUAUAUAAUGAACUAGGUUGCUCCUUUAUUUGAUAAGAUAUCUCUCUAUAUUUUUUUUUCUAUUAAGACAUGGCUAGCUCUUUUUUUUCUUUUCUUCUUUUUUCAUGGACCUUCAUGUGCCCAUAUGUAUAUAUAUGUUGCAUAGCCCUUUUGGUGUCUCAUCUAUUACACCAUAUUUGGAGAGGUAUUCUAAUACUUAAAGCAAGGAGCAAGUUAUUUGGUGGAAAUGGAAGACAUAUUUUUGCGUACUUCUAGUGUAGAAGCAGCAUGUAUAUAUGUGGUGUGUGUGUGAUCUUGAUCUUGGGAGCAUGAUAAGUCUCUUAAACAAGGGUCAACAAGACUUGACAACACUCAACACAAAUCAAAUAGCUUAUGUGGAAGGUUUAUAAACAUGUAGAGCAUAUAUGGCCGUGGUAGGAAUUUAUCAUUAGUGAGGAACAAUUAAGGUUUUGAUCAUUUUAAGAAUAAAUUCUCAGGUAUUGCAACAUGCUUAGAACAAUACUAUAGCAGCUCUAAUCUCACUAUCUCAUAUCCCUCAACAACUUAGACUUAGUUUUAGCACUUGCAACCCACAAAGUUUUUGGGUUCAUGAUGGUUUAAGUGAGCUAAGUAAUACAUACUUGGAGAAAUGCUAGGCUGUAAACUAGGUACUAAGGAAAUAUUGACAGAGUAACUAUUCAUCAUUUCCAUAAGGAAGAUAAACAUACAUGAAGCAUAUGUGUUAAGCGAGAUAAGCAAAUAUUUUUUUGAUAUUUUCUUUUUUUGAAUGCACUAAGAUGAAUAACUAGAAUGCAAAAUGCUAAGAUAGAAUACUUACCUUAGUGGGGGAGAGGAUCUCCCCCAAGCUUGGCUUUUGCUCACUGUGGUGGCGGAUAAUGUUGGAACCAUCCGGCCCAUCAUUGUGCUUCCUCAGCUUGUAUUGCUUGUAGAAGUUGGGCAUUUUGUUGUGCCAGCUGCAGCAUUGCUUCUUAUUCAAUGUGCAUUGCACCCGUGUUGUUGAUGAGGUCGUCCAUCUCUGUCCUUUGGUGGCACCUUUCCCUGCCCCGUGGGUGAGGAGUGCGUUGUGGACGUGGAGGCCUUUCCAUGGACCCUCAUAUGUCCAUAGAGCUUGCCUCAUCGCCUUCUUCAACUUCAUCUCC